CCUACGGGUGGCUGCAGUGGGGAAUAUUGGGCAAUGGGCGCAAGCCUGACCCAGCAACGCCGCGUGAAGGAAGAAGGCUUUCGGGUUGUAAACUUCUUUUCUCAGGGACGAAGCUAGUGACGGUACCUGAGGAAUAAGCCACGGCUAACUACGGCCCAGCAGCCGCGGUAAUCCGUAGGGUGCAAUCGUUCUUCGGAUUUACUGGGUGUAAAGGGGGUGUAGGCGGGACUGCAAGUCAGAUGUGAAAACCACGGGCUCAACCUUUGGCCUGCAUUUGAAACUGUUGUUCUUGAGUGCUGGAGAGGCAGAUGGAAUUCCUAGUGUAGCGGUGAAAUGCGUAGAUAUUAGGAGGAACACCAGUGGCGAAGGCGGUCUGCUGGACAGCAACUGACGCUGAGGCGCGAAAGCGUGGGGAGCAAACAGGAUUAGAUACCCCAGUAGUC
rnacentral:rRNA from 1 species